rnacentral:rRNA from 1 species
CCCCCAACUAUCCCUAUUAAUCAUUACGGUGAUUCAGAAACCAACAAAACAGGACCACCGUCCUAUUCUAUUAUUCCAUGCUAAUGUAUUCAGACAUAAGCCUGCUUUGAACACUCUAAUUUUUUCAAGGUAAAGGUCCUGGUUUCCCACCACGCUAAAUUAAUAACAUGAUGGUUCCCCAGAAGGUAGAAAUUCUACACGCCAGUACAGACAAAGCCCGACCAACGGUAGAACCCCGAAAUUCAACUACG